UGGACUCCGAGUGUUUGCCCCACCAGC
rnacentral:piRNA from 1 species